UACGUAGGGUGCGAGCGUUAAUCGGAAUUACUGGGCGUAAAGCGUGCGCAGGCGGUUCGCUAAGACCGAUGUGAAAUCCCCGGGCUUAACCUGGGAACUGCAUUGGUGACUGGCAGGCUUUGAGUGUGGCAGAGGGAGGUAGAAUUCCACGUGUAGCAGUGAAAUGCGUAGAGAUGUGGAGGAAUACCGAUGGCGAAGGCAGCCUCCUGGGCCAACACUGACGCUCAUGCACGAAAGCGUGGGGGAGCAAACAGG
rnacentral:rRNA from 1 species